UAGAAGAGCCUGGAGAAUUUUCUUGUCGUUUCUUUUUGACAAAGAUUGCAAGCAGCAUAGUUCAAUAUUCUUAUUUUCCAUGGUUAGGCAAAAGAACGUCGGGGAUGUGGAUUCAUGCAUAUCUGGCUCCAGCAGCAUGAGAAAUUUAAGGAAUGAGGGACAGAAGAAUUUCCUCACGGCUGAAUGGUGUGAAAAGAAAAGUUCGUAAUCGAUUCAUGGUCCUUGGGUGCAAAUCGCAACACGGUUACAAGGCUUGCUUGAAAAAAAUUCCAGCUGAGAAUGUGUUCUCCAUCUUGGUUUCACUGAACAAGAGGUGGCAGCUGAGGCCACAACAUUCUGGUACGUAUCAAUCUUAAAGUACAUCCCUUGAUUCU